CCUACGGGGAGCAGCAGUGGGGAAUAUUGGACAAUGGGCGAAAGCCUGAUCCAGCCAUGCCGCGUGUGUGAAGAAGGCCUUCGGGUUGUAAAGCACUUUCAGUGGGGAAGAAAGCCUUGGGCUAAUACCCUCGAGGAAGGACAUCACCCACAGAAGAAGCACCGGCUAACUCCGUGCCAGCAGCCGCGGUAAUACGGAGGGUGCGAGCGUUAAUCGGAAUUACUGGGCGUAAAGCGCGCGUAGGCGGUCUGAUAAGCCGGUUGUGAAAGCCCCGGGCUCAACCUGGGAACGGCAUCCGGAACUGUCAGGCUAGAGUGCAGGAGAGGAAGGUAGAAUUCCCGGUGUAGCGGUGAAAUGCGUAGAGAUCGGGAGGAAUACCAGUGGCGAAGGCGGCCUUCUGGACUGACACUGACGCUGAGGUGCGAAAGCGUGGGUAGCAAACAGGAUUAGAUACCCCGGUAGUC
rnacentral:rRNA from 1 species